rnacentral:rRNA from 1 species
GAUGAACGCUGGCGGCGUGCUUAACACAUGCAAGUCGAACGUAGCACUUUAUUUGAUUUCCUUCGGGACUGAUUAUUUUGUGACUGAGUGGCGGACGGGUGAGUAACGCGUGGGUAACCUGCCUUGUACAGGGGGAUAACAGUUGGAAACGGCUGCUAAUACCGCAUAAGCGCACAGCAUCGCAUGAUGCAGUGUGAAAAACUCCGGUGGUAUAAGAUGGACCCGCGUUGGAUUAGCUAGUUGGUGAGGUAACGGCCCACCAAGGCGACGAUCCAUAGCCGACCUGAGAGGGUGACCGGCCACAUUGGGACUGAGACACGGCCCAAACUCCUACGGGAGGCAGCAGUGGGGAAUAUUGCACAAUGGGCGAAAGCCUGAUGCAGCGACGCCGCGUGAGCGAAGAAGUAUUUCGGUAUGUAAAGCUCUAUCAGCAGGGAAGAUAAUGACGGUACCUGACUAAGAAGCACCGGCUAAAUACGUG